CACAGGGGAGGGUGUGCUUGUCCUCCUGCCUUGGCAAUAAGUGAAGCCUUGAAUGUCUCCACAUCACAUCAGUGCUGUCUCCUGGACUGCAGGCAGAGGGCCGGUGGGAGAAGCCACAGUUUCUGAUGAAGAGCCAUAACUGAAAACUUGUUAUAAUUGAGGAAAGAAGACUAUUCAAGACUGCAAACAAGUCUUCGUAAUUUGUGGAACAAAUGUGGCCCGAAAAGGAUUACCAAGACAUUAAGCAAAGGCCAUUUGCCUUGAAGUCAGACAGACUUGUGUUUGCAAUUUCACCUUUUCUGGUCUUCUAAAUUGAGAAAACUGCUUGGCUUGCUGGGCAUCAUUAAAUAAGAAGUUUGUGAGACCUCAAUGAGUCAUGAAGAAUCCUAAUUUCAAAUCCAAAGAAUCCAAAGUGAUGACAACAAAAAAUAACAAUUGAUAUCUGAACAAAGGCCAAGAAGUAAGUCCUUUGAUUUGGCCCCAGACCAAGUCGCCAACGUUGAACGUCCUUGGCCUAUAAUGUAUCAACUCAUUUGAAGAAGGGGAAUCUGGAUUCCUUAGGUCAUCUUCACUACUAAUGCUUUUAGCG